CCCUAAGCUUGCCCGACUGGGCAGAGGAUCCUCCUCCAGUCACCACUGAAAGGGCAGGACUGGAUCUGAGAAGCAUCUUGCGAAGCACUGAAUGAGCAUGGAGGGAAUGUCUGAGAGUCCCUGACAAGUUCCAUCACCGGUUCCUGUUCUUAGCCACAUCCACUCAAACGCAGCUUACAGCAGUGCCGCAAGAGGGGAAGAUGGAGCGAAGCCAUCGCUGUAAACACCCUUCAACAACCAUUACCAUGAAGAGCCCUAAAGCCCAAGUGACAGCCUAAAAAGAGGGAAGUGUCAUCUCUGAUUCAUGAUGCUGGGGAAUUAAGCACUCUAAUCACUGACAAAUCAAUCAUUACCAGCCAUAAACAAGCGGGUUGUUAGUUGGCCUUCCUAAGGCAAAGCCAGGGCCCAUUAACGUGUUACACAUUGGGCUGUUCACGGCAAUAAGCUGCAGCUCAGCACUGUCAGGGGAAUUACCCCUAAUGGAGACCAAUU